UACAGAGGGGGCAAGCGUUGUUCGGAAUUACUGGGCGUAAAGGGCGCGUAGGCGCCUUCUAAGUCGAACGUGAAAUCCCCGGGCUCAACCCGGGAACUGCGUCCGAUACUGGAAGGCUUGAAUCCGGGAGAGGGAUGCGGAAUUCCAGGUGUAGCGGUGAAAUGCGUAGAUAUCUGGAGGAACACCGGUGGCGAAGGCGGCAUCCUGGACCGGCAUUGACGCUGAGGCGCGAAAGCCAGGGGAGCAAACGGGAUUAGA
rnacentral:rRNA from 1 species